rnacentral:rRNA from 1 species
UACGUAGGGUCCGAGCGUUGUCCGGAAUUAUUGGGCGUAAAGGGCUCGUAGGCGGUUCGUCACGUCGGGAGUGAAAACUCGGAGCUCAACUCCGAGCCUGCUUCCGAAUACGGGCAGACUAGAGGUAGGCAGGGGAGAGCGGAACUCCUGGUGUAGCGGUGGAAUGCGCAGAUAUCAGGAAGAACACCGGUGGCGAAGGCGGCUCUCUGGG